GAUGAACGCUGGCGGCGUGCCUAAUACAUGCAAGUCGAGCGAACGGACGAGAAGCUUGCUUCUCUGAUGUUAGCGGCGGACGGGUGAGUAACACGUGGAUAACCUACCUGUAAGACUGGGAUAACUUCGGGAAACCGGAGCUAAUACCGGAUAAUAUUUUGAACCGCAUGGUUCAAAAGUGAAAGACGGUCUUGCUGUCACUUAUAGAUGGAUCCGCGCUGCAUUAGCUAGUUGGUAAGGUAACGGCUUACCAAGGCAACGAUGCAUAGCCGACCUGAGAGGGUGAUCGGCCACACUGGAACUGAGACACGGUCCAGACUCCUACGGGAGGCAGCAGUAGGGAAUCUUCCGCAAUGGGCGAAAGCCUGACGGAGCAACGCCGCGUGAGUGAUGAAGGUCUUCGGAUCGUAAAACUCUGUUAUUAGGGAAGAACAUAUGUGUAAGUAACUGUGCACAUCUUGACGGUACCUAAUCAGAAAGCCACGGCUAACUACGUGCCAGCAGCCGCGGUAAUACGUAGGUGGCAAGCGUUAUCCGGAAUUAUUGGGCGUAAAGCGCGCGUAGGCGGUUUUUUAAGUCUGAUGUGAAAGCCCACGGCUCAACCGUGGAGGGUCAUUGGAAACUGGAAAACUUGAGUGCAGAAGAGGAAAGUGGAAUUCCAUGUGUAGCGGUGAAAUGCGCAGAGAUAUGGAGGAACACCAGUGGCGAAGGCGACUUUCUGGUCUGUAACUGACGCUGAUGUGCGAAAGCGUGGGGAUCAAACAGGAUUAGAUACCCUGGUAGUCCACGCCGUAAACGAUGAGUGCUAAGUGUUAGGGGGUUUCCGCCCCUUAGUGCUGCAGCUAACGCAUUAAGCACUCCGCCUGGGGAGUACGACCGUAAGGUUGAAACUCAAAGGAAUUGACGGGGACCCGCACAAGCGGUGGAGCAUGUGGUUUAAUUCGAAGCAACGCGAAGAACCUUACCAAAUCUUGACAUCCUUUGACAACUCUAGAGAUAGAGCCUUCCCCUUCGGGGGACAAAGUGACAGGUGGUGCAUGGUUGUCGUCAGCUCGUGUCGUGAGAUGUUGGGUUAAGUCCCGCAACGAGCGCAACCCUUAAGCUUAGUUGCCAUCAUUAAGUUGGGCACUCUAAGUUGACUGCCGGUGACAAACCGGAGGAAGGUGGGGAUGACGUCAAAUCAUCAUGCCCCUUAUGAUUUGGGCUACACACGUGCUACAAUGGACAAUACAAAGGGCAGCGAAACCGCGAGGUCAAGCAAAUCCCAUAAAGUUGUUCUCAGUUCGGAUUGUAGUCUGCAACUCGACUACAUGAAGCUGGAAUCGCUAGUAAUCGUAGAUCAGCAUGCUACGGUGAAUACGUUCCCGGGUCU
rnacentral:rRNA from 1 species